rnacentral:tRNA from 1 species
GGAGGGAUGCCGGAGCGGUUGAACGGGGCGGUCUCGAAAACCGUUGUGCACGCAAGUGUACCCAGGGUUCGAAUCCCUGUCCCUCCG